UUAUCCAUUCCCACGUCUAUUCUCCAUUCGUUCCGAAUUACUCUUCGUCUUCCAUGGGCGAGGCCAUGGGCUGCGCCGCCGCGGAGGCGAGGACCAAGGCCAUGCCGCUGCUCCACCGAGGAGGCAAGGAGGAGGGUCGUGCCGCUGCGCCGCUGAGCCCUCGCCUCGUCGCAGCCCCUCUCCCCGCCGUCCCCGAGCCCCGAGAUUUCCCUGCGACGGUGACGGCGAACAUGCUCCGCCGCCAUGGAGGCGAGGAUGAGAGCCGUGCCGCUGAGCCGUUGAGCCCUCGCGCCGUCGCAGCCCCUCUCCUCGUCGCCCCCGAGCCCCGAGGUCUCCCAGCAACGGCGAUGGCGAACAUGCUGGUUUCGGAGAUGCAGCUGCCUCCCCUCCUCGACCACCUCCUCGCCGCGCCCCACCUCACCAUGGCUAAGGUCACCGAGCGCCAAUGCCCAUCCCAGAUCUUUGAAACAAGAACUAGAGGCCUUGUUGCAUGAUGAUAUUGGUGCACUAGAUAUUGAGGAGAAUGAAGCCAUGGAGGUGGAUAACUUAUUUGUGCUACUGUUAUUUGUGAACCUUAACUAGAUUAUUGUGAUAAUCAAGCACCCUAGACGAUGGUGAACAACGAGGCCUCGGUGAAUAUGUGUGAUCAACAUUUCUAGUUCUCUACACAGCUAAUCGAUACGUGCCCAUUGAUGGUGAAAAUGUGGGCUUGAUUAGGAGCUCAUAUGGUCUACAUUAGGAACUCGUAUGGUCAUCAUAGGUCGUGCAGGCUCCCUGCUCCCUGGUUCCAGAUCUGGGCGACGGUUGCUGCCUAGUUGACGUUGCAGGCGUGUGGAGGAGCUUGCCGGCAAGGGUCUUUGGCUGCACGUAGAGUGGUAGACUGCAGGUACCAAGAGUAUAUUUUUUUACGUGCGCUACAUUUGGGGUGAUAUUGCCGGUGAAGAUCUCUACCUCUUCUGCUGUUCAUCUCAUAGCUCGGCGGCCCAUACCCUUUAAAAUUUGUUCAUACCAGGGCUUCAAUCGGCGUCACAGUUUUCGCAGAUCUCAGGUUUCAAAUCAGGUGGGUGCACAAAGCUGGACAGGUAGUAGAGCUAUGCAGAGUUUUGUAUUUUUAAUAGAUGUAGGAGGCCCAUGGAAUUUAGUUCUACAUAAUCGCAACUUUGGUCUACUCAAAUAGUUCAUCACAUGAUCGUUUAGCUCAGCAAUUUGUGAUUUUAUGCUGACGUGUAAAAUAAAAUCCGGCUGUAGUAACUUUUGGAGGUGUACGUGUCCAUCUUUUAGAUUGAAGUAAAUUUUGUUGCUGCUGAGAAAUGCCGUGAGGCACCAGAAAAACAGCGCAAUUUUGUUGCCGCUAA